rnacentral:rRNA from 1 species
UACGUAGGGCGCAAGCGUUUAUCCGGAAUUAUUGGGCGUAAAGAGCUCGUAGGCGGCUUGUCACGUCGGGUGUGAAAGCCCGGGGCUUAACCCCGGGUCUGCAUUCGAUACGGGCAGGCUAGAGUGUGGUAGGGGAGAUCGGAAUUCCUGGUGUAGCGGUGAAAUGCGCAGAUAUCAGGAGGAACACCGGUGGCGAAGGCGGAUCUCUGGGCCAUUACUGACGCUGAGGAGCGAAAGCGUGGGGAGCGAACAGG